CGUUCUAUCAGCUAGUUGGUAGGGUAAUGGCCUACCAAGGCUACGACGGAUAGCUGGUCUGAGAGGACGAUCAGCCACACUGGGACUGAGACACGGCCCAGACUCCUACGGGAGGCUGCAGCAGGGAAUAUUGCGCAAUGAGCGAAAGCUUGACGCAGCGACACCGCGUGUGGGAUGACGGAUCUAGGUUUGUAAACCACUUUCAGGAGGGAAGAAAAUGACGGUACCUCCACAAGAAGCCCCGGCCAA
rnacentral:rRNA from 1 species